UCAGCUGAUCCGUCACUUUUGUCGAUGUCACCCUCUCCAGAAGCCUUCAGUCUGUCGUUGUACAACCAGAGAGUAGGUGACGUGUUUACUGGGUCCUCAGACUUACACAACUGACUACUUGGUCGCAUCUGACAUUCUUCCAGAAAUAUGGACAAAAUGACUACAGUAUAUUCCUCGAAAUACAAUGAAGACGACAAAGCUGAAGCCCUGGACAUUCUGGAGCAGAUUACUGACAAGAAAGUGGAUCGCAAAGUGGUCUUUGAUCGCUACACGCAGAUUAGUCAUCAGUACGAAAAAGCUAUGGUCGUUAUAAACUACAACGGUCCCAGGGAAACAGCUGCAACAGUGGCACAGCUGUUUCCAAGCAACAGAAACAAUGUCUGUAUGUUAGAUGUCGCGGCUGGCACAGGCCUCUGUGCGAUUGAGCUCAACAACUAUAAUUUCCUGGAACUAGAUGCGCUUGAUGCAUCAGAGGGAAUGUUAUUAGAAGCCAAAAAGAAGAAACUCUAUGGCCGCUACAUCAUUGACGUUUUAGGGGAAAACGCACUUGAUAUCAAUGACGAUACAUAUGAUGCAGUUAUCAUAUGUGGACUUAGUACUGACAUUAUGAGAAGACUACCCAUCCAAGCCUUUGAGACUCUCAUUAGGAUUGUUAAAAAAGUUGAUGGGUGGCAUAGGUGGCCAGUCAUCUAAGGUGCGGCAAUUCGCUAAGCAGAGUUGCGUCGCUACGCCGUGCUCACCAAAUUGGCGGAUACGUUGUCAAUACAGGCUUUUACACAACGUUUACUGACGGUCACACUGAAACUGAGGAUUUCAGAGGACGCAUGCGAACACUGGAAUCUCAGGGCAAGUGGAAGCAAGUGGAAGUCAGGCGGUUUCAUCAGUAUCUCCAAGGCCGCGAUGGGGCUGUUUCUGUUCAUAAGAUAUGUUAAACGAUGGGGCUGUUUCUGUUCGUAAGAUAUGUUAAUCGAAUACCACUGUUGCAUGAAUUUAUUUCUGACACAACAAGGUGUUCUGUCCUCAAACGGAUUUAUGGAAUUGGUUAAAUGCUGAAUUGAUCAAUUUUGUUUGUAAGGUAUCAACAAAUUGAUUACUUUUUGAUCGGAAUCUCCGUGUCCUCAAUAAUUUGUAUUAUUCGUGCUUUGUGGUGACUACAACAAAAGGAACAAAUUACAACAACAUGUAGAAUAUGAUGUUUGAAACAAAAUCCUUUUAUUAUUCUCUGUAGGAAAUGUCAAUGAACGUACUUCAUUCGUAGAUAAUACGACUUUAAAUGAGAAAUAUAUGAGUUAUAUGUUGUUGUGUGGUAUUGUGAGUGAGUGAGUGUGGUUUUACGCCGUUUUUAGCAAUAGUCCAGCAAUAAUACGGCGGGGAACACUGGAAAUGGGCUUCACACAAUGUACCCAUGAUGGGAAUCGAAACCGGGUCUACGGCGUGAAGAGCAAACGCUUUAGCCGCUAGGCUACCCGACCGCCCCUUGGGUAUGAUAUAAAAUGUAGCAGUAUCAGGAGGUGUACAUAUGGUUAUAUGCGUCCCGCGUUAGGUUUGAUGCCACGAGCCGGAGGUAUUAAACAUAACGAUGGACGCACAUAACCACGUUUCCUGGUUGAUACUGACACAACGAAUUUAUAACAUGUUUUCAUAUGACGUUGUAAAUAAAUUAAAACAUUUCAAAAUUGAAAGAAACAGCUGUUCGAUUGAGCUGAGGGUAACGUUUGCUAUGUCAAGUGACUUUCAUUGACUCGGGUCUGUUUGCUAAGAAGCGGGAUUUAACGGAUUUAUUCACCCUCUCAAAAAUCCACGUGCACCGUGUUCUGUUCGUGGCAGGGUAUAAGGGACUUAUUUUCCCACUGAUAAAUAUCUUUCCCUCCGAGGCGGGAUACAUAGUAUUCUAUGAAGACCACGUAAAUCAGUCAGAUCUGACAUGGAGAUAUUAUCAGUGUUUCAAUAUUACACGAUGGAAUUUCGGACGUUUGUACAAUUACAUGUAUAUUCAUUUGAAAAAAGGGAGAAUCCGAUAGGACUGAUUGACACGAGAUUAAGCAACACAAUGUUUUAUUGGAAGUUUCGAAGAAAGUGUUUGUAGAAUCAGCAUAUCACAAAAUGCAAACGCGGUGCAAUGCUCUGCUUUCGUUGUUGCCGGGGCACUGCAAUGGUCGUUUAUAAGUCAGUGGUAUGCUCUGUCAGCAAAUCAGCCAAUCGGAACCUUUCUAGUGUAUGUGAUAUUUAUGCAUAUUUUUGUUUCACGCACAUGAGUUCAGGCAAACCAAGUAUGUCUGCCAACAUUUCUGUUCUUUAUUUGUGAAUUUGAUUUACAAACUGUUGAAUAAAUAUGCAAAACUUC
rnacentral:misc_RNA from 1 species